CAGCGAGUUGGAUGUCAGUUUUAUUUUUCGGAUGGACAAUACCGCUUUUCAAGCAGAGUUAUCAGCGUGACGCGUUACAUCCAAAUGAUGUGUUUGAACCGCUCGAGGAAGAUCAAUCGGAUAGACUUGGUGAUCGACUGGAAACAAAUUGGAAGUCUGAACUGAAACUACAAUCAUCUCCAUCGUUACUAAGAUCAUUGUUUAAAACAUUCUAGUGCAAACUGCUAAUAAUGGGAGUUUUGUGCUUUUUAUCUCGAUGUGUAUGUAGCCAAAUAUAUCCAUUUUUAUUAAAGGGACUCUUGUCAUAUUUUCGGGACAAUUCUGAAGUAUCGUUUAAUGAAGCAAGAAAUUAUGGAGUUGGGCUUUUCACUCUUAACAUUUGCACUGGAAUCAUCUCAUUCCAAUAUGUGCUUAAAAUGUAUUACAAUGGUAUGAAAGUUCGCGUCGCCAUUAGUAGUGUUAUUUAUCGAAAGGUACUGCGUUUGUCACAGAGUGCUUUGAGCAAAACAUCUUCUGCGAAAUUGGUGAAUUUGCUCUCAAAUGAUGUUCAACGAUUUGAAUCUAUAUCCCAAAAUGGAUUGUGGGUACCACCGGCAGCAUCAAUUGUGGCAACAUAUAUUUUA